ensembl:lncRNA
UGACCCUAAUGACUCCCAUGAGGCCUCUUCCUGUCAGAUGCACCUCAACUACUCCCAUUCAGGCUUCUUUCUACCCUACAGGCCCGACCUCCUGCUGGAAUUCUCUUCUGGAAGUUUUUACAACCAACUUCUAUGCUCUGAGAGACAAGCUUAUAUUUCUUCCUUCCCCUUUAUCGAGGAGUCCCUACAAGGCGCACAGCCAUCAUUUUUCCCCCUCAUUCAUGUUUCUCUUCACUGUCAGGGCCAUAUGUCAACAGAACUGGGGAAUUUUUCCGAGCAUGUGCUGUCCUGCAGCACUGUAUAAGCAAUGUUGUGGUUACCACCAUGGCACAGGCAAGGCAGUGGAUACCCACAAAGGUUAAGUCACUUGUGCAGGAUUAGGUGGUGGAGUUAGGCAUCAAAGCUAAGGCUGUCCCUGAUCAGUGCUGUGCUGAGCUGAUGUGGCAGAGUCUGGCCCAACUGGUGAUCCCCCUACCCCUUUUCCUUUCUCCUGCUCCUCCCUCUCAAUUCCCCUCUAGGGACCUGGCACUCCUGGGUUUCAUCAGGAUCUUCUUGGCACUGUGGGUGAUGACUUUUACAUUUUCUCCUCUUCUGGAGGAACGCACAUCAGGAGGAGUGAUCUUCAGGUUUAUAUAUCAUCUUUUGGCUUAUAUGCUUCCUUUGCAGGCAUAGACUUGAGGUGAGGAGGUGUUCUUUGCUCCUAAAUCAUAUGGCCAGGCGAGUGCCUACUCCAAUUCUCUGUAAGGCUAUGCUGUUUUGGAGACUUACCAUUUGGAGAAGGAGCUCAGGAAGGGCUAUGGGAGCCCUAUGCUCAGGCUGGAAAAGAUAAAGAAAUCCGAAAGUGAAAUCUUGGCGUGGAAGCAGUGUGCUUUGAAUCAGCUCUAUACAUUAAUAACAGGAACCAGUGAAGGGGCAUUCUUCAGGCUGAAAGGAAAGUCCUGAGAUUAAUAGCUUCUAGAUUCCUGAUGGAUACCACUGUCUCCUCUUGGGCAUGGGCGUGGGAGUGGGGAUAAAAAGAGCCCCUGGAUUCUUCUGUGAUCAGGGACCCAGAGAUCGCAAUGCAAGGAAAGCCUGUAGGAGGAGCUAUCUUAGUGUGCUUCCUUUUCUUGGGUAGCUGAGCCUCUGAAUAGUUUGGGGUUGUAAUUGGGGCACACAGUGUUGCCUAAGCUAAAGAUGAAGCCUCUGCCAACUGUGCACUAGUUUUCAGUUGUUGGGGGACUAUCAGUCUACAGCUGCGGGUGGGUCUUGCUUUUGUUUGUCUCUGUGCUGGAAGCUCAUAUGGAAAACUUUAUAGCAAGAAUUGAAGCUAGCAAAACAGCCCUCAGCCAGCUCACGACAUGAUGGCUGAGGUCCUAUCACCCAUGGUGCUUAUAGAUCUUUUAAUGAGAGUCUAAGAUGCAGUGCUAGGGAAUUCCCUGGCGAUCCAGUGGUUAGGACUCUGUACUUUCACUGUGGUGGUCCCAGGUUCAGUCCCUGGUGGGGGAACUAAGAUCUCGCAAGCUGAGUGGCAUGGCCAAAAAAGGUGGGGGGCAGUGACAGUGAGAUGUGCACGGUGGACCUGGCUGCUGACAUCACAAAAUAACAAAAUUGGGCAAAAUAAACAUAGGCAAAGAUUUUCAGCUGGCGUUUGCUUUUGAGGCUAGGUAGCAGAUAUGGCCUACAAGAUGCCGGAUGAGAUACACACAGAUUAGGGCACCCCCCUUCUUUAUCUUUGGACAGGUGCCACACUGGGGCCUCUUAGAGAGUAGAAGGCCUGCACCAGUAUCCUUUCGUCAUUUCCCUAGAACACCCACCGUUUCUUUAUUGAGCAGUUUGCAAGCAGAAGCUCAGGUGUAUGAUUCCAAAGAUCACCACUACACAAUGAUUAUUAUAAUGAAUAAUUCUCCUGUUAUGAAUAGUAAGUCUAACAGUAAGGUAGAGUUACCAGUGAAAUUAAGGGGUUGUACAUAAUAAACCUUUUAAACUUUGCUUCAACUCUCAUUUGCUGCCAUAAUCCUGAUUUAUUAGAAAGGCUUUGGAUGACCAUCCAUCUAUGGCAUGCCUUUGUUCCUUUCUUCCUCAUCUAAUUGAGCGGAAGUUCAUAUGCCGUACACCCAUGACUUGGACCCAACUACUACCUCCCUGUAAAUAAGGGUAAAGGUAGAAAAAGACAAAAAUUGGUAUUUUUCCUAUGUGGUACAUAAGCAUCUGGAAUUUAGGAGUUUUGAGAUUUAGCGUGGUGACAAGGAGUCCUGUCAUGACUGAGUCUGUUAGCCAGUGGAUGAGAUAAGACACUGGAAAAGGUAGUAUCAGAGACAGGGGCAAAAAUGGAAAGUUAAGUCAGCAAAUUUAUACCAUCACUUCUGAUAUUUCCUCUACUACCACCCCUGGGUCAUAUGCCUAUUGUUUCUGUGAAGGGGUCAUAUUCAGUGGAAGGGGAUAGGGGAAAUGGGGCUUAUAAAAACUUUAUGAAAGCUUCUCUGCUUGAAACAGGCUUGAAGUGCAAACAUUAACAUUUAUGAUGUGGGGUUGGCCAUGUGUCAAUAACACUGUUAGAUUUUUCUAGGUCAGUCUCAGUUCUCGGAUUUUCUUUGCAUUUAUUGUCCCAGGAUCCUAGGUGUUGUGGCUGUGGGGACAAUGGCUCCUAGUUAUGGUAAAACUAAAUGAAUCUGGAUCACUGCCUCCUCCUUCACUGUGCGUGCACGCUCAGUUGCUCAGUCAUGUCUGACUGUUUGUGACCCCAUGGAAUGGAGCUCACCAGGCUCCUCAGUCCAUGGGAUUGUCCUGGCAAGCAUACUGGAGUGGGUUGCCAUUUCCUCCUCCAGGGGAUCUUCCCCACCCAGGGACUGAGUGUGCAUCUCCUGUGUCUCUUGCAUUGGUAGGCAGAUUCUUUACCACUGGGCCACCUGGGAAACACCUCUUCUCUCAUUACUAUUAUUUAAUUGACCCAAUUAAUUGAAUUAUGAUCAGCAACCCAAGGUUAGAGUGAGGAUGGUGGGGUAAAUGCAAGCUUCAGAGGGUCCCCACUGAAGAAUAAUUAGUAGAUUGCUUAGGCCUCUGCCCCUGGUGAAACCCAGGCUUUUCCUGAAAAGGCUAUUGAUUGCUUCAUGUGGAGGGUGCAGUGUCUCCUCUCUAGAAGAUAGGUCCCUUCUGAUUCCCUGUUUAAUUUUGGUCCUUGUAUACUUAGUUUGCUU